rnacentral:miRNA from 1 species
CAGCAGACACAUUCCAGCCAAUCAGCAGCAGACCCUCCCUCCUAAACCCUCCCACCUCCUGGACAGCAUCCAUUGUGAAGUUGCAUUCUUAGUGAGCUGUCCAGGAGGUUGGAGGGUCUGGGAGGGAGGGUCUGCUGAUGAUUGGCUGGAAUGUGUCUGCUG